rnacentral:rRNA from 1 species
CCCUUAGAUGUCCUGGGCCGCACGCGCGCUACACUGAUGCAUUCAACGAGUAUUUCCUUGGCCGAGAGGCCUGGGCAAUCUUUUAAACCUGCAUCGUGAUUGGGAUAGAUGAUUGCAAUUUUUCAUCUUCAACGAGGAAUGCCUAGUAAACGCAAGUCAUCAGCUUGCAUUGAUUACGUCCCUGCCCUUUGUACACACCGCCCGUCGCUCCUACCGAUUGAAUGAUCCGAUGAAUAUCAUGGAUUGAGGAUGCAAGUAGGUUCGCCUAUCUUCGUCUUCGAGAAGUGAAGUAAAUCUUAUCAUUUAGAGGAAGGAGAAGUCGUAACA